rnacentral:rRNA from 1 species
UACGAAGGUGGCAAGCGUUACUCGGAAUUACUAGGCGUAAAGGGCAGGUAGGUGGCUUGAUAAGUCUGUUGUGAAAGCUCCCGGCUUAACUGGGAGAGGUCAACAGAAACUAUCAGGCUUGAGUAUGGGAGAGGGUACUGGAAUUCCUGGUGUAGCGGUGAAAUGCGCAGAGAUCAGGAGGAACACCGAUGGCGAAAGCAGGUACCUGGACCAUUACUGACACUCAGCUGCGAAAGCUAGGGGAGCAAACAGG